GCGGCUUCCGGGAUCUGGCUGGCGGGCGCUUUGUCUCGCCUUCGCCACAGUAGUCUCUUCCUGUUAGUCUCCGCUGCUACUUCUUGGCUCUGCAAGGCCCAGGUGGCUCUGCAGCAGCCUCUGCCACCUGUGACCUGCCGGUAUUGGGACAUCACUAGCUGACGCCAGGACACCCGGAAGCCGAGGAAUGGACUCUGUGGCGUUUGAGGAUGUGGCUGUGAACUUUACCCAGGAGGAAUGGGCUUUGCUAGAUUCUUCUCAGAAGAAUCUCUACAGAGAAGUGAUGCAGGAAACCUGCAGGAACCUGGCUUCUGUAGAAAUCAUGUGGUACAGAGACUGUGUGAAAGCAAAGAAGAUAGUUAGUAUGGACAAGUUGUCAGCCAAAUUCCAAAUCUUGAUCUGAAUGAGAACAUUUCUACUGGAUUAAAACAACGUGAAUGCAGUAUUUGUGGAAAAGUCUUUGUACGUCAUUCCCUCCUUAACAGGCACAUCCUAGCUCACUCAGGAUACAAAUCAUAUGGAGAGAAGCACUAUAAAUGUGAACAGUGUGGGAAAUUCUUCAUUUCUGUUCCUGUGCUAGAAGACACAUGAUAAUGCACAGUGGAAAUCGAGUUAUAAAUGUACGAUAUGUGGGAAAGCAUUUUAUUUUCUCAAUUCAUUUGAAAGACAUCAGAGAACUCACACAGGAGAGAAACCCUAUAAAUGUAAACAAUGUGGUAAAGCGUUCACUGUUUCCCGUUCUUGUCUAAUACAUGAACGAACUCACACUGGAGGGAAACCCUAGGAAUGUAAGGAAUGUGGGAAAACAUUCAGAUUUUCUUGUUAUUUUAAGACGUGUGAAAGGACUCACAUUGGAGAAAGACCCUAUAAAUAUACCAAAUGUGAUAAAGCCUUCAGCUGUUCCACUUCCCUUCAUGACCAUGGAAGCAUUCAUACUGGAGAGAGACCCUAAGAAUGGAAACAAUGUGGCAAAGCCUUUAGUCAUUUGAGUUCCUUUUGUAACCAUAGAAAUACUCAUACUGGAGAGAAAGCCUAUGAAUGUAAACAAUGUGACCAAGCCUUCAGUCGUCUCAGUUCCCUUCACCUCCAUGAAAGAAUUCAUACUGGAGAAAAACCCUAUGAAUGUAAGAGAUGCGGAAAAGCCUACACUCGUUCCGGUCACCUUACUCGCCAUGAAAGAAGUCAUGAUAUAGAGGCUGGGUGUGGUGACUCAGCCUCUAAUCCCAGCACUUUGGGAGCCCAGGAGUUCGUAACCAGCCUGGAUUAAAACAAUGUGAAACAACCUGGGCAACAUGGUGAAACCCUGUCUCUACAAAAAAUAAAAUAAUGCCAGGUGUGGUGGCUCACGCCAGCUACUCGGGAGGCUGAGGCAGGAGAAUGGCGUGAACCCAGGAGGCGGAGCUUGCAGUGAGCCGAGAUCGCACCACUGCACUCCAGCCUGGGCGACAGAGCAAGACUGUCUCAAAAAAAAAAGAAAGAAAAUAAGUAGCUGGGCAUGGUGGCACAUUUCAGUUGUCUUAGUUCUUUUUCAAGGGCAUAAAAAGCCACGGAGGUUGAGGGGAAGCCCUGUGCAUGCGGAUCACGAGGUCAGGAGAUCGAGACCAUCCUGGCCAACUUGGUGAAACCUUGUCUCUACUAAAAAUACAAAAAUUAGCUGGAUGUGGUAGCAUAUGCUUGUAAUCCCAGCUACUCAGGAG